UUUACCUCAAAAGAACGCUUUUCCUGGAUGCGGCUCAGCAUUGGACGCUCCCAUCCAAAAAGUUUUGUGAUCUUAAUGCUUUUAAGGAGCUCUGUGGUCAAACGAAUUCUUUCAUCGCUGGAUGUAUUUGCAAUCGAAGUUAAGCGAGAUAUUUUUGAUGCAACUAAUAACGGAAAACUUGAACUGAGAAUGGCAAGUAGAAGGCCAACAUAAGCACUCC